UUUUUUUUUUUUUUUUUUUUUUUUUUUUUUUUUUUUUUUUUUUUUUCG
rnacentral:ribozyme from 1 species